rnacentral:rRNA from 1 species
GUUAAACGAUAGCGUACACGGUGGAUGCCACGGCAGUCAGGAGGCGAUGAAAGGACGUGCUAAUCUGCGAUAAGCGCCGGCCAGGUGAUAUGAACCGUUAUAACGGCAUUUUGAUGGGGAAGCAGUGUGAUUCGUCACACUAUCAUUAGCAGAAUCCAUAAGGUUAAUAAGAGGCGAACCGGGGAACUGAAACAUCUAGUACCCCGAGGAAAGAAAUCAACCGAGAUUCCCCCAGUAGCGGCGAGCGAGCGGGGGAGAGCCCCAGGAAGCCUGAAUCAGCAUGUGUGUUAGUGGAAGCGCGUCUGGAAAGGCGCGCGAUAAGGAGUGACAGCCGUACACAAAAGCACAUGUGCUGUGAGAGCUCGAUAGUAGGGCGGGACACGUGGUAUCCCUGUCACGAAUAUGGGGGACCAUCCUCCAAGGCUAAAUACUCCUGAUGACCGAUGGUGAACCAGUACCGUGGGAAGACGAAGAACCCAACGAGGGUGAAAAGAACCUGAAACCGUGUGUACGUACACACACCAAGCAGUGGGAGCACAAGGUUUACCUGUGUAUUUGACUGCGGCCUUUGUAUAAUGGGUCGGCGACUUAUAUUCUGUAGCAAGGUUAACCGUAUAGAGCCGGAGGGAAACCGAGAGUCUUAACCGAGCGUUAAGUUGCAGGGUAUAGACCCGAACCCGGUGAUCUAUGCAUGGGCAGGUUGAAGGUUGGGUAACACUAACUGGAGGAUGAGCUUGACUAUGUUGAAAAAUUAGCGGAUGACCUGUGGCUGGGGGUGAAAGGCCAAUCAAACCGGGAAUAGCUGGUUCUCCCCGAAAGCUAUUUAGGUAGCGCCUCGGCUGUUCAUCUCCGGGGUAGAGCACUGUUUCGGCUAGGGGCCAUCCCGACACCAGCCCCGUGCAAACUGCGAAUACCGGAGAAUGUUUAUCACGGGAGACACACGGCAGUGUAGCGUCCGUCGUGAAAGAGGAAAGCACAACGAACCGCCAGCUGGGUCCCAAAGUCAUGGUUAAGUGGGAAACGAUAUUGGGAAGGCCCCGAACAGCGGGAUGUUGUAGCUUAGAAGCAGCCAUCAUUUAAAAAGCGUAAUAGCUCGCACUGGUCGAGUCGGCCUGCGCGGAAGAUGUAACGGGGCUAAACCAUGCACCGAAGCUGCGGCAGCGAACGUAUCGCAAAGCGAUUCAGCGGAUGACGAUUGACGGAGCGAAGCGACGUCAAAGCAUACUCACAAAUCCCGUCGUUUAAGGAUACGUUCGUUAGUGAAACGUUCUUAUGAAAGCCUGCGAAGGUGGCCUGUGAGGGUUGCUGGAGGUAUCAGAAGUGCGAAUGCGUGCGCAUAAGAAAGUAACGAUAAGCGGGUGAAAGCCCGCUCGCCGGAACCAAGGGUUCCUGUCAACGUUAAUCGGGGCAGGGUGAGUCGACAGGCGAGGCCGAAAGGCGUAGUCGAUGAGGCUGGGUUAAUAUUUCCCGUACUUGGUGUUACUGCGAGGGGGACGGAGGAGAAGGCUUAUGUUGGCCGGGCGACGGUUGUCCCGGUUGCUUACGAUGUAGGUGUGUGUGUGUUCGAGGUAAAUCGGUUCGCAACACUGAGGCGUGACGACGGGCACAGUGCUGAAAGCAACAAAUGCCUACUUCGGAAAAACCUCUAAGCAUCAGGUAACAUCAAAAUCGUACCCCAAACCGACACAGAGUGAGAUGGGUAGAGAGCCACCAGGCGCUUGAGAGAACUCAGGUGAAGAACAAGAGCAAAAAUAGUUGCCGUAACUUCGGGAGAAGACGCAUGACAUGUAGGUGGUGAUUUACUCAUGGGCUGAAGUCGGUCGAAGAUACCCAGCUGGCUGCAGCUGUUUUAUUAAAAAGCACAGCACUGUGCAAACGCAGUGGACGUAUACGGUGUGACGCCUGCCCGGUGCCGGAAGGUUAGUGAUGAGGUCGCGCAAGCGAAGCUCCCUGAUCGAAGCCCCGGUAAGAAGCGGCGGCCGUAGCUUAUAACGGUCUAAGGUAGCGAAAUUCCUUGUCGGGUAGUUCCGACCUGCGAUAUGUGGUGGCGAGGCUGUCUCCACCCGAGACUCAGUGAAAUUGAACUCACUGUGAAAGAUGCAGUGUACCCGCGGCAAGACGGAAGACCCGUGAACCUUUACUAUAGCUUGACACUGAACAUUGAGCACUUGAUGUGUAGGAUAGGUGGGAGGCUUUUGAAGUGUGGACGCCAGUCUGCAUGGAGCCGACAGCGAAGCCACCACCCUUUUAAUGUUUGAUGUUCUAACGUGGACCCGUAAUCCCGGGUUGCGAGACGGUGUCUGGUGGGUAGUUUGACUGGGGCGGUCUCCUCUAAAGUAACGGAGAGCACGAAGGUUGGCUAUUUGGUCGGACAUCAGGAGGUUAGUGCAAUGGCAUAAGCCAGCUUGACUGCGAGCGUGACGGCGCGAGCGGAAGGUACGCUGGUCAUAGUGAUCCGGUGGUUCACGAAUGGAAGGGCCAUCGCUCCAGCGGAUAAGGUACUCCGGGGAUAGCACAGGCUGAUACCGCCCAAGAGUUCAUAUCGACGGCAUUUUGGCACCUCGUGUCGGCUCAUCACAUCUGGGGCUGGUAGAGUCCCAAAGGGUAUGGCUUUGUUCGCCAUUUAAAAGUGAGUACGAGCGGGUUUAGAACGUCGUAAACAGUUCCGGUUAGCCUCUGCAGGCGCUGGAGGGAACUGAGAGGGGCUGCUCCUAGUACGAGGGACGGAGUGGACGCAUCACUGGUGUUCGGGUUGUCAUGCCAAUGGCACUGGUAGCUAAAUACGGAAGAGAUAGAACUUUGAAAGCAUCUAAACUGGCUUUUGCCCCGGAUAUGAGUUCCCUGAGACUUAGAGUCUCUCCUGGAAGGAACGUUGAAGAAGACGACGACGUUGAUAGGCCGGGUGUGUAGCGCGCAGCGAUGCGUUAGUAACCGGUACUAAUAGACCGUGAGGAAGCAACGC